GGUCCUUUAGCUCAGUGGGAGAGCGCUUCGUUCACACCGAAGAGGUCACUGGUUCAAUCCCAGUAAGGACCA
rnacentral:tRNA from 1 species